rnacentral:lncRNA from 1 species
GGCGGCCGCAGUCUGCUCGCCCGGGCGACAGACGCUCCGAGAUGCCGAAGGGCCAGCAGCGGCCCCGAAGCUCCGGGCUGGCCGCGCUGUCGCUCUGCCGCGCCCCGGUCUCGAAGUGAAGGUGCCUCUUCCUGGCUAGCCCACCUACAUGCUGUCAUCACUGGGCUUCUGCAACUCUCAGUCUUUGUGGCUGCACCCUUCCCUUCUGAAUCCUGAGGACCCAUGAGUGUCAGGCCCAUCAUGAAAUUGGUCGUCUUACUGGGUCUUUCCCCUGCAGCUUUCCCGAGGCUGUACAGCAUUUAUUGGUGCUCAUCUGUUUGAGUAGAGCUGGCAUAGAGGACUGCCACCGGCUGGGAGGGGCCAUGGUACCAGAGGUCUUGGGUGCCUGAAGAUACUCCCCCUAGCCCUGAUGCCUUGGAAGAGAAGCCCUUCAAGACAAGCUGAUGCCAGGCCCUGGCCAGAGGUUCUAUGUAAUGGUGGCUACACACUUCCCUGAUGACUGUCAUUUAAGGCAUACAUAAUUCUCCUUCCAGAACCUGUCUCUUCAUUGUUAUCAUGGUCAUCUAUUCACAAUAUCCUCUGUCACUUUAGAAUAUAUUGCUUAUAAAAAGA